rnacentral:rRNA from 1 species
GAAAUGCGUAGAGAUCAGGCGGAACACCCGUGGCGAAGGCGGCCAGCUGGGCCGUCCUGACGCUGAGGCGCGAAGGCGUGGGGAGCGAACGGGAUUAGAUACCCCGGUAGUCACGCAGUAAACGAUGCAGACUAGGCGUGGGGGGAGUUGACCCCCUCCGUGCCGGAGCCAACGCGGGAAGUCUGCCGCCUGGGGAGUACGGCCGCAAGGCUAAAACUCAAAAGAAUUGACGGGGGCCCGCACAAGCGGCGGAGCGUGCGGUUUAAUUCGACGCGACGCGUAAAACCUUACCAGGGUUUGACAUGCUCCUGCAGAGCCGGGAAACCGGUUGGCCUUCGAGGGUGGAGCACAGGUGCUGCAUGGCUGUCGUCAGCUCGUGCCGUGAGGUGUUGGGUUAAGUCCCGCAACGAGCGCAACCCCUGUGGAUAGUUAGAUGAUCUAUCCAGACUGCCGGUCGCAAACCGGAGGAAGGUGGGGAUGAUGUCAAGUCCGCAUGGCCCUUACAUCCUGGGCGACACGCACGCUACAAUGGCCGGGACAGCGGGUAGCCAAGCCGCAAGGCGGAGCGAAUCCCAAGAAACCCGGUCUCAGUUCGGAUCGUGGGCUGCAACCCGCCCACGUGAAGCCGGAGUCGCUAGUAACCGCAGGUCAGCAGUACUGCGGUGAAUAUGUUCCCGGGCCUUGUACACACCGCCCGUCACGUCACGAAAGCCGGUAACGCCUGAAGCCGGUGGGCUAACCCCUUGGGGAGGCAGCCGUCGAGGGCGGGAUUGGUGAUUGGGACGAAGUCGUAACAAGGUAGCCGUAGCGGAAGCUGCGGCUGGAUCACCUCCUU